CAGGAUGAAAUACUCUCUCAGGAGGAAAUAUUCGACCGGGGAGCAUGGAACCCGUUCCAUUCAACACCACAGUGUGAAAUCAAUGGGGGUUUUACCAGAGCCAAUCCAUUGCAUGCACAUUUCAAAGGGACCAGCAGAAAAAAUAUUGGC